AUUGAACACUGGCGGAAUGCUUUACACAUGCAAGUCGAGCGGCAGCGCGGGGCAACCUGGCGGCGAGCGGCGAACGGGUGAGUAAUGCAUCGGAACGUACCCAGUCGUGGGGGAUAACGUGGCGAAAGUCACGCUAAUACCGCAUACGUCUUGAGGGAGAAAGCAGGGGAUCGCAAGACCUUGCGCGAUUGGAGCGGCCGAUGUCUGAUUAGCUAGUUGGUGGGGUAAAGGCCUACCAAGGCGACGAUCAGUAGCUGGUCUGAGAGGACGAUCAGCCACACUGGGACUGAGACACGGCCCAGACUCCUACGGGAGGCAGCAGUGGGGAAUUUUGGACAAUGGGCGAAAGCCUGAUCCAGCCAUUCCGCGUGAGUGAAGAAGGCC
rnacentral:rRNA from 1 species